GUGGGGAAUAUUGGACAAUGGGCGAAAGCCUGAUCCAGCCAUGCCGCGUGUGUGAAGAAGGUCUUCGGAUUGUAAAGCACUUUAAGUUGGGAGGAAGGGCAGUAAGUUAAUACCUUGCUGUUUUGACGUUACCGACAGAAUAAGCACCGGCUAACUUCGUGCCAGCAGCCGCGGUAAUACGAAGGGUGCAAGCGUUAAUCGGAAUUACUGGGCGUAAAGCGCGCGUAGGUGGUUUUGUAAGUUGGAGGUGAAAUCCCCGGGCUCAACCUGGGAACUGCCUCCAAAACUGCAUGACUAGAGUACGGUAGAGGGUAGUGGAAGUUCCUGUGUAGCGGUGAAAUGCGUAGAUAUAGGAAGGAACACCAGUGGCGAAGGCGACUACCUGGACUGAUACUGACACUGAGGUGCGAAAGCGUGGGGAGCAAACAGGAUUAGAAACCCGUGUAGUCC
rnacentral:rRNA from 1 species